rnacentral:rRNA from 1 species
UACGUAGGCAGCAAGCGUUGUUCGGAGUUACUGGGCGUAAAGAGUAUGUAGGCGGUUGGGUAAGUUUGGUGUGAAAUCCUCCCGGCUUAACUGGGAGGGUGCGCUAAAGACUGCCUGGCUCGAGUGUGGGAGAGGAAAGCGGAAUUCCUGGUGUAGCGGUGAAAUGCGUAGAUAUCAGGAGGAACACCUGCGGUGUAGACGGCUUCUGGACCAUAACUGACGCUGAGAUACGAAGCGUGGGUAGCAAACAGG